CCAUCCAUUCCGUUGGAUGAAGCCGUUGUCCCCGGCUCUGCCAGUAAUGGCACUGUUUCGGAAGCGGACAUAAACGUAACCCUACUUGGAAUCAAACCGGUUGAGGGGGGAGGGAUGAAACUGCGAGCUGCAAUGGCGGGU
rfam:Mouse gut metagenome OB1_T_BO-aab19g05.b1, whole genome shotgun sequence.